GAAAGGAUCAUGAGGCAAAUUAAACGAAAAUUAGGCAUUUUUUCACAUGAUGCUGAAGAGGUGUGCUAGCAGAAUGUUACAAUUGUGAAUUUCAUAUUUUGGUGCCCAGACAUAAAGUUUCCAAACAAUAAGACCACAUGUAUCUGGAAUUUCUUCUUGGGUCCCUGAGUGCAAAGCUGGCAGGGAAGGGAGAGUCGCUGUGACGUUUAACGCGUGUCGCCACUUGGUCCAAAUGUUUGUUUCCUUCUUCUUAGAACAUCAGUCCAUGCCUGGACUGACGCAGCCCUCCUGAAAAUGAUCUGUGUUUUCAUAGGUCCCUCGAUGCUGAGUCCACGCCUCUCCUCUGCCCUGACUGCUACGCUGCGGAUCAAACAGCCAUGACUCUUGGGGUCCAGGACAGUGAAAUACCAGCACCACGUCGUGACCCGUGGUCGUCUUGCAGUUUCCUCCUUCGACUUAGCCUUUUCCUGGGAAGAGUCAGGACUUAGGACGCCGCUUCUGUACCAGUCACCGUGCUGAGCCAGAACCGUCCCCCAGCCCUUCCGGAGCGUGUCCCAGACAGACGCUCAUCAGGUCCUUGGACUUCAGUGAAGAGAAGAAGAGCGGGUGAGGAGAGCGGGCAGUGCGGCAUCAGUCCGCACAGGCCACGGCGGAGCAGAGAGAAGGCCAUGGGGUCUCGAGUAACUGCUGGAAGUCGGGGCAAGGUCCUCUGCCCUCUGCCUUCAAGAUGAGUUUCCUCUCACGGCUGCCUCCAAGCUGAGCAGGUCUGUACACGGCUAACCCCCCGCCCCAACCCCAGGGUCUUUGUGUGGGUUUCUGGAGUUGCCGCCUGCCCAGCGCUUCCUCUGGGGUCC
rnacentral:lncRNA from 1 species